rnacentral:lncRNA from 1 species
AUCUAAUAAAACUGUCAACGGGUAUAAAAAAUUCUUGAUAAUUCUGUUAAAAGUGUCAACUGGUACUGAAAACUAUUGACAAUUCUGAAUAAAGUGUCAACGGGCACUACUCGAAAAACCUAAAAGAAAUUUUAGGCUUUAGGAAAAUAAAACGGUCUAAAAUUUUAUUCGUCUUCUCCUUGUUUCAGAAACCAUUUAAACUUGGCUCUACCAACAUGAACGCCAACACCACCAACAUCUCCUUAGCAUCACUCUUAGCAUCUAUGGUUAGUCUCUCUCUCUCUCUCUCUCUCUCUAAUUUUUCCACUUAAGAUUUGGUGAGUAUGCUGUAGUUUAGGUUAAUUUUGUUUCUUUUCUGUUUUCCACAAUUGAAUUGAAAUUCAAUUUCGCCAUCUGUUAUUCUAUUCAAUUAAUCUUAUUAAUUCUACUUCACGUUUUCUUUAUAGUUGUUUCGUGUUAAUUAAAGUUAAAAACAAAACAAAUUGAAAGCUUUGGAAGCCCUAGGUUGGCUUUAGGAUUCCAUAGACCUAUCUUUCUCACAAUUAAUUAGUUUGUUACUAAUAAAGAUCUGAACGAAAUUCGCAAUUUCCUUGUCUGAAUUAAAUUAAAUUUGGAUCUAUUACUUCAAUUUUUUAACUUGCCAGAAUGAUUCUGGAUCGAACCAGAAAUGAGUACUUGCUCGAGUUGAAUUGAAGAGAUUCUGAAACCUAGUUAUAAUGCGCACAAAGGAAGCAACUAAUAUUUUUGUGUAGGUUCAAUCGUUUUGUGUAUGUUACUGGGAAAGUUAUUGCGCAUUCUCAAUGAUUUAGUUUUUUAUUUAACGAUUAUGUCUAUGUUGAUCAGUAUUUUCUCGUUUCAAACUGAUUGUUUUCUGCAGACACAAGUCAUUCACGUAAGUCCUUAGUAUUAGAUUUGCUAAUUUAUCUGUUAAUUCGUUUGUACAUGUUUGCAAUACUCUUCUUUGUAAUUACUAACUUGUUGUCAGUUUUGCAAAAUGAUGCAUGUCAACUAAUUUUUAUUGGAGAUGUGUUUAGUGCAGCUGACUGUAUCGUAUAUACACACGUUAAUUGAAUUUCAUUGGUGAGUUUACAAAUCGUGUAUUACUGAACAGAUUCGUUUGGUCCUUUUAAAAAUAUUUUUAUUUGCUACUUUACUGAGUUAGCUCUUGAUAUUCAUUCUUUUGUAUUAAAGGGAAAUGAAGCUUGUAACAAUUGGCCAAUGUCUCAAAGGCAAGAUCAAUGUCUCGUUUCCAGUAAGGGGGUAAAUUCUUUUAUCAAUCAUUUUAUGGUUGCAUUUAUAGUGGUACAUUAUAUCAGUUAGCAGUGGACUCUUCUUGUUUAUUGUUAGGUUCUAGACCUUGUGCAAUGAAGGUAUGUGUGCUGCACUAUAGUACUUUCUAUAACUUUGAUUUGUGGAUUGUGGGUCAAAGAGUAUGUUGAAGUAGCUUGAAAACGUUUGAAACUCCAUUCCCUUAUGUGCCAAAUUGGUUUUAGCUUAAAGUCUUAAAACUCUUAGUAAUUUGCUUCAAUGCUCAAGACAUUUAAUUUUUUUUUUGUUAAAGCCCAUAGUGAUUUGUAGUUCCAUAUAUGUCUACCCCUUUCUUUUGAGGCUAUUAUGUACUGAUGUGAUUGGAUUGUUCUAGCAUUUUCUCUUCCCAUUUAAAAUAUCAGCAAGUCUUGUUGCAAUAUCUCGUAAAUAUUAAAUGUAGGGUCAUGCCCUGAACAUCUAAACCUCUCUCACGCUGUCAUGCAUCUCUUUUUGUUGGAUAUUCAGGAUAUCUUGGAAUUUCUUAAUAACUAGGAUCAACAUGCAUAUGUAUCAACUGCCUAGCUUCCACGCAUUCAUAUAAGAGAACAUGUUAAUUGUGAUCCUAGGAACAGGGCACAUAGUUCUUCUAAUGAUAGUUUUCUCUACAUACUACCAGUAAAUAAACUGUGUUUCCUAUUUUUAAUCCUUUUCCACUUAACGAAGUUAUAACUCUGUCACAUGAACCUUUGUAGUAGUGCGUACUCAUUGGGGGCAUAUGAUUGGCUUGCAUAAUUAUAGUUUCAAUUGAAUAUUUUAUUGAAAUGUAACUGCUUUACGAAGCCAUUGAUUCAGGGUCCUUAUAGUUAGCCUAUAAGAAUGAGGAAAUGGCACACCGGCGGAAAUUAGCUCUUUGGAAGAAUCUUAGACCUUAUUCAGUUCAGCAAAUGGUCCCAGACGGUGGCAACCCAAUUAGCUACCCCCUGAACAGGUACGGUCUUUCCACGGUUAAAAGCAGUGGCUAAUGUCGUUUCGCCACCGUCCCGGUCCGUGGCGAAUUUGAAGUAUUCUUGUAGUGUGAUAAGUCUUCAAAAGUGUAUAUUUAUCCCCUGAAUAACACCUUGUUUGUUUAACACUUAGCUUAUAUUAUUAUGUUAUAUCUAUUGAUUAGUGUUUUCUUGUCUAUUGUGUAGGUUUCAUGAGCUGAAAUGCGAAUAUUGUGUUAAAGCCCGCCAAAAGUUAAUAAAAGCAAGCAAAAAUGUGUUAUUUGCACAAGGGAAGGAGAAUUAAUAUUUGCACCCACAGAUCUGUUGAGGGAACCCCACGAUCAGUCCUGUUGACUUGACUCAAAGUGGGGCGGUCCAAAUCUCACCCCAAACCAGGUUCUAUUGAAGCCCAUAAGUCAAAAUUUCUAUUUAGGGUUUUAUUUUAAGUCCAAACUAAAAAAGGCAAUACAAUGAGAUUCAGAAGUCUGAUUUGGGCCCAUGAGCUACCAAGCUACAACUUAAGCCCAAGAGAAUUAGGUUUUUCUGAAGACCUAAUGCCUCCAAAAGACCAACAGCAGCAACCACGAAUUUGACCUAAUUUGGAAGUCUUUGCAUGCAAGUAUUCAACUUUGUAUUUUCUAUAUAAGAGAAGUAGUAGCUAAGGUUUAGAUAUCUUUUAGAUCUUCUUUGAGUUAUUGUUUGAAGAGAGAAAAGUGAGUAUUUUGUGAGAGAAAAGUUCACCUUCUUCUUCUUCUUCUUGUAUCAACUCAAUUAUCAAUAUCAAAUCCAUUAACUUUUCCAUUAUGAUGUUUUGUUAUUUAUUUAUUUAUUCUAUGGUGUCAUCAUCAACGAUGAGUAGUUAAAUCUCCUUAGGGGGAUGGUUGAAGCACUCUAGAUGAUGCAAAAGCACCAUGUUUGUUCUUA